AUUGAACGCUGGCGGCAUGCUUUACACAUGCAAGUCGAACGGUAACAGGCCUUCGGGUGCUGACGAGUGGCGCACGGGUGCGUAAUGCAUCGGAACGUGCCCAGAGGUGGGGGAUAACGCAGCGACAGCUGUGCUAAUACCGCAUGUGAUCUGAGGAUGAAAGCGGGGGACCAAGCAGCAAUGUUUGGCCUCGCGCCUCUGGAGCGGCCGAUGUCGGAUUAGGUAGUUGGUGGGGUAAAGGCCUACCAAGCCGACGAUCUGUAGCUGGUCUGAGAGGACGGCCAGCCACACUGGGACUGAGACACGGCCCAGGCUCCUGCGGGAGGCAGCAGUGGGGAAUUUUGGACAAUGGGCGCAAGCCUGAUCCAGCAAUGCCGCGUGCGGGAAGAAGGCCUUCGGGUUGUAAACCGCUUUUGUACGGAACGAAAAGGCUCUGGCUAAUACCUGGGGCUGAUGACGGUACCGUAAGAAUAAGCACCGGCUAACUACGUG
rnacentral:rRNA from 1 species